rnacentral:rRNA from 1 species
AGUGAACGCUGGUGGUAGGCCUAACACAUGCAAGUCGAACGGCAGCACAGUAAGAGCUUGCCCUUACGGGUGGCGAGUGGCGGACGGGUGAGGAAUACAUCGGAAUCUACUUUUUCGUGGGGGAUAACGUAGGGAAACUUACGCUAAUACCGCAUAUGACCUACGGGUGAAAGCAGGGGAUCUUCGGACCUUGCGCGAUUGAAUGAGCCGAUGUCGGAUUAGCUAGUUGGCGGGGUAAAGGCCCACCAAGGCGACGAUCCGUAGCUGGUCUGAGAGGAUGAUCAGCCACACUGGAACUGAGACACGGUCCAGACUCCUACGGGAGGCAGCAGUGGGGAAUAUUGGGCAAUGGGCGCAAGCCUGAUCCAGCCAUACCGCGUGGGUGAAGAAGGCCUUCGGGUUGUAAAGCCCUUUUGUUGGGAAAGAAAAGCAGCAGGUUAAUACCCCGCUGUUCUGACGGUACCCAAAGAAUAAGCACCGGCUAACUUCGUG